rnacentral:rRNA from 1 species
AGGGUGUAAACGCUGCAGACUUGGUGUUGGAAGUCCUUUGGGGGCAUUCAGUGCCGGAGAGAAGUUGUUAAGUCUGCUACUUGGGGAGUACGUCCGCAAGGAUGAAACUUAAAGGAAUUGGCGGGGGAGCACCGCAACGGGAGGAGCGUGCGGUUUAAUUGGAUUCAACACCGUAAACUCACCAGGGAAGACUGUUACAUGAAAGCCGAGAUGAAGACUCUGCUAGAUUUUCAGAGAGGUGGUGCAUGGCGUCAGUGACUGU